GAGAAAUUGAAAAUAUUAAGUAGAAUUGAAAGAAGUACUCAAAUUAUUUUAAACACUGAGGUCGAAGAGGAUGGAAAAUUAAGGAUGAUUUCUCUAUUGAAGUUAAUGUCAUAAAGUUUGCUUUUACAUCUUUUAGGAAUGCGGUGUUAUAUUAUUCUAGGGCAUAAAUGAAAAUGUAUUUAAUUAUCUCAAGCUUUAUAUUUCUUAAUUAUUUAAAAAUACUUGUUUGUUACUACAAAAAUACAAGCUAGCAUUGAAAGUAGUAAUUUUCAUUGUCCACUCCCAUAGAAAAGAAUUAGGAAUAAACAUUUCAUUUGCUUGUUUCUUAGAAGCAUGUGUCUCUAGCAAACAGGUAUAUCAAAUGCUUCUAAAAAUAAUUUAAGUAAUUUCCUCCAAUCUUAUCCUGAGGACAAUUUUAUACACACACAUAUUUUUCACAAUAAGCUUUUAAAAUUCCAUUAGAAAACAUUAUAUUUAUUUUCUUCAGUUGUGAAGUGUUUACCAGUGACAGCACCAGAGAACGGAAAAAUUGUCAGUGGUGCAAUGGAAUCAGAUCGGGAAUACCGUUUUGGACAAGUAGUACAAUUUGUAUGUAACUCAGGCUACAAGAUUGAAGGAGAUAAAGAAAUGCAUUGUUCAGAUGAUGGUUUUUGGAGUAAAGAGAAACCAAAGUGUGUGGGUAAGAUACACUUACUGUUUUAGUAUUUUUAGCUUUUUAAAUAUAAAUAUACAUUUAAAACGUCGUUCAUUCUAAGGAAUAUCAGCAAUAUUAACAAUAGCUAAUGUUUAUUCAGCACUUCCUAUCUGCCUGUAAUUAAGCUAAGUUCUUUGCAUGCAUCAUUUCAUUUUAACUUUCAAAAAACUCCAUGAUUUAUUUACUCUUAUCACUUUUAUUUUAUAAUUGAAGAGACUGGUGCAAAGAAGUUAAAUCACAUGCCCUGGAUUAUCAUGGCAUAAAGAGUCAAGUUAGGAUUUAAAUGUAGGUUAUCUGACACCAGAGUCCAUGCUUUAAUAACAUAACUCCAUUGUAGUUGCCUCUUAGGCUGAAAGAGAAUGCUAAGUAUUUCUGCUGCAAGCUGUAAGACUUCUGGAAUAGACAUUUGUUUUUAAUUUUGAAAGCCAAAGAUUCAUUAUGUAUUUCCAGAGAUAUAUUAGAAUGACAUUCGUUUUUGAAUAACACUUUUAGGAAGCAGACCUGUUUUAUAUUUGUACUGCAAUUUUACUAUAAAUGUUGCUGAAUUGAACAGAAUCCACUAAAUAAACUGUUGCCUCUUUAAAAAAGUUUUAUAGUAAACUGUAAGCCAGGAUUUUUUUAGUCAUAAUACUGCCAACCUGUGCAUCAUGACCAAUCAAAGAUUUUGGCUUCUGUGAUAAACAUCGUCGUUGAUUUGUUUAGUAGUACCAUAGUUCAAGUUCAUUUUACCAAUAACUGUUUGGCAGAAGUUUCUGGCAUAUUUAUAUUUUAAUAUUAUCAAAAAUCUCUAAAUUAUUUUUACUUUUAAAGUCUGUUCUAUCUUAUAGUUAGAUACAGAUAAAAGAAUCUCUCUUCUUAAGAACUCUUUAUAACAACAAUAGUUCUUUACAUUAAAUCUAAUAUUUUUAUUCAGCAUAGCAAAUAUUAUGUACUUUAGAAGUACAUGGAUGGAAUUUACAUCCUUACAACUAGAUUCCUGUGGUUAGUGAAACCUUCCUGGAAUGGCUGAUGCCUACGAUUAAGUCUUAAAGAAAAAAAUGAGAUGUUGUAGAUGAAAAUGAGAGCAAAAGCAUACCAGAGUUCAGGGAAAGGGAAGUGGAAGGGCAGUGAGGCUUUAAGGAGCAUGAAGCACCACUGAUUCUUGUCCGUUGUUCCUAGGCACCUUAGUCUAGGAUGCAAGUAGGGAAUGAGUCAGAGAUAAAUAGAAGGCGGGCCAAUACAGAGUGCUGAGGUGCUGCAUGCACCAUGCUGAAUAACACGUCUUUUAUUCAGACUGAUUUGGGAAUCAAUGAAGGAUUUCAAGUGGAGUUACGAUGUGUCUACCUGAGAGGUCAUUAAGCUAUACACAAGGAAAAUGGAUUAGAAAGUGGGAGAACAGAGUUUGGGAAACUAUUUAUGAUUGGCACAAUCCCAGGUAAAAAUAUUUGAGAGAAGUGGAUAUAAAAGAUGAUGGCCAUUUUUUUUUUUUUCCUGAGGAAAUCUUGGCUAAAUGGUGAUGACACAAAAACAGGUCAGUUACUUUUCAGAGAUGUAAUGACAAUGAGUUAAAUCAAUGUCUUUGACAAAGAGUCCUGUUGAUAAUUGCUGUCUUAUCAAUAACUAGAAGAUGUGUUAUUUUUUGCAGGUCAUUCAGUGAAAACCUCACAAUAAAACUAUAUUUACGAUCAAUUUUAUUUAUACACUUGAUGAAUGUUACUGGUCACUAUUUAUUUCAAGAAGGCUAAUUUAUCCUGAAACUAAAUAAAAUUAGAAGCAUAAUUUUAAUCAGAAUUUAACUUUCUUCAGAUAAAUCAUUUAUUAAGCAGUCAAGUCAAAACAGAACUUUUGUUUAGUUGACUGAUUUACCUGAUGGAAACAGCAUUUCUGUUUUCGUAUAAUUAUGUCCUGUUCACAGUCCUUUAAUUUGCAAUAAACAUUUUGGAAUUUAAUCCCUUUUAUUUAGAAAUUUCAUGCAAAUCCCCAGAUAUUAUAAAUGGAUCUCCUAUAUCUCAGAAGAUUAUUUAUAAAGAGAAUGAACGAUUUCAAUAUACAUGUAACAUGGGUUAUGAAUACAGUGAAAGAGGAGAUGCUGUAUGCACUGAAUCUGGAUGGCAUCCAUUGCCUUCAUGUGAAGAAAAAACAUGUAAUAAUCCUUAUAUUCCAAAUGGUGACUACUCACCUUUAAGGAUUAAACACAGAACUGGAGAUGAAAUCAGGUACCAGUGUAGAAAUGGUUUUUAUCCUGCAACCCGGGGAAAUACAGCAAAAUGCACAAGUACUGGCUGGAUACCUGCUCCAAGAUGUACCAUGAAACCUUGUGAUUAUAAACGUGUUCCAAAUCAAGUAUAGAUAUUGAGAAUGGGUUUAUUUCUGAAUCUCAGUAUACAUAUGCCUUAAAUAAAAAAGCAAAAUAUCAAUGCAAACUAGGAUAUGUAACAGCAGAUGGUGAAACAUCAGGAUCAAUUACAUGUGGGAAAAAUGGAUGGUCACCUCAACCCACAUGCAUUAAAUCUUGUGAUAUGCCAGUAUUUAUGAAUGCCAGAGCUAAAAAUGACAUCACAUGGUUUAAGCUGGAUGACAUAUUGGACUAUGAAUGCCAUGAUGGUUAUGAAAGCAAUACUGGAAGCACUACUGGUUCCAUAGUGUGUGGUUACGAUGGUUGGUCUGAAUUACCCAUAUGUUAUGAAAGAGAAUGCAAACUUCCUAAAAUAGAUGUACAUUUAGUUCCUGAUCCAAAGAAAGACCAGUAUAAAGUUGGAGAGGUGUUGAAAUUCUCCUGCAAACCAGGAUUUACAAUAGUUGGACCUAAUUCCGUUCAGUGCUACCACUUUGGAUUGUCUCCUGACCUCCCAAUAUGUAAAGCUCAAGUACAAUCAUGUGGUCCACCUCCUGAACUCCUCAAUGGGGAUGUUAAGGAAAAAAUGAAAGAAGAAUAUGGACACAGUGAAGUGGUGGAAUAUUAUUGCAAUCCUAGAUUUCUAAUGAAGGGACCAAAUAAAAUUCAAUGUGUUGAUGGAGAGUGGACAACUUUGCCAGUGUGUAUUGUGGAGGAGAGUACCUGUGGAGAUAUACCUGAACUUGAACAUGGCUGGGCCCACCUUUCUUCCCCUCCUUAUUACUAUGGAGAUUCAGUGGAGUUCAAUUGCUCAGAAUCAUUUACAAUGAUUGGGCACAGAUCAAUUAUGUGUAUUCAUGGAGUAUGGACCCAACUUCCUCAGUGUGUGGCAAUAGAUAAACUUAAGAAGUGCAAAUCACCAAAAUUAAUUACAAUUGAGGGAAAUUUAACAAACAAGAAGGAAUUCGAUCAUAAUUCUAACAUAAGGUACAGAUGUAGAGGAAAAGAAGAACAAAUACGCUCAGUCUGCAUAAAUGGAAUAUGGGAUCCGGAAGUGACCUGCUCAAUGGCACAAAUACAAUUAUGCCCACCUCCACCUCAGAUUCCCAAUUCUCACAAUAUGACAACCACAUUGAAUUAUCGGGAUGGAGAAAAAGUAUCUGUUCUUUGCCAAGAAAAUUAUCUAAUUCAGGAAGGAGAAGAAAUUACAUGCAAAGAUGGAAGAUGGCAGUCAAUACCACUCUGUGUUGAAAAAAUUCCAUGUUCACAACCACCUCAGAUAGAACAUGGAACCAUUAAUUCAUCCAGGUCUUCACAAGAAAGUUAUGCACAUGGGACUAAAUUGAGUUAUACUUGUGAAGGUGGUUUCAGGCUAUCUGAAGAAAAUGAAACAACAUGCUACAUGGGAAAAUGGAGUUCUCCACCUCAGUGUGAAGGCCUUCCAUGUAAAUCUCCACCUGAGAUUUCUCAUGGUGUUGUAGCUCACAUGUCAGACAGUUAUCAGUAUGGAGAAGAAGUUACGUACAAAUGUUUUGAUGGUUUUGGAAUUGAUGGGCCUGCAAUUGCAAAAUGCUUAGGAGAAAAAUGGUCUUACCCUCCAUUGUGCAUAAGUAUGGUGCAUUGAAUUUUAUUAUAUGUAUGAUAAAUAUUCUUCAUUCAAAGUAUAAAUGGUGCCAAUAAGAAAGUAAACAGUGACUCUAGAAAUUCAUAAGGUUUUCUUGAAUAUUCUGGACUGUUGUGGGAAAUUAUAGCUGUAGUAAUUAAAACAUUUGACAUUAUAAGACAAAUUGGUUCAUUUUCACAUCAUCUUGUGUGAACUUUAAGCAUCCUCUGAUGUAUAUUCUCAGACUUCUUAUCUCUGUUCUUAGGGCACAGCUACCUCUACUCAUCAAUCUCCACAUUAUUCAAUCUUCUGUCAGUUUAUCAACAAUCUCCCUAUAAGUACAUUUUCUGAAAUAUUUUUAAAAAUUAUUAUAAGUAUUUCACAUUUGAUACAAGCAAAAAAUUUGGAAAUACACACACAACAUAGGUGGUGUAUUAUUCCGUUUUCACACUGCUGUAAAGACCUUCCUGAGACUGGGUAAUUUAUAAAAGAAAAAAUUUUAAUUGAUCACAGUUCCUCAUGGCUGAGGAGGUGUCAUGAAACUUACCAUUACCGCUGAAGGGGAAGCAGGCACCUUCUUCACAAGGUGGCAGGAGAGAGAGGAGUGAGCGAAGGAGGAACUUCUAAACACUUAUUAAAUCAUCAUAUCUUAUGAGAACUCACUCCCUAUCAUGAGAACAGCAUGUGGGAAACUGCCACCAUGAUCCAAUCACUUCCCACCAGGUCUCUCUCUCAACACCUGGGGAUUAUUAUUCAAGAUGAGAUUUGGGUGAAGACACAAAGUCUAACCAUAUCAGGUGGCAAGUAUGGACAAAAAAUAAUGUGAACAAAAAAAUGUGUAAUCUCAAUUGCUACGGCUACCAAUAUCUCUUCGGGCUUCUAAUAUCAUUCCUAUCUUGUAUUUUUAAUAGAUUUAGAAGAAUUUAAUGUAAUUAAGACAAAAUGGCUAAUAUAUUUUCUCAAGUUAUAAGAAAAAUGUUGUACAGUAUUCAUGAUUCUAUAUAUCGCUAUUUUAGAAUCCAUUACAUGCGUUGUAUGUAACCUAUUUUUAAAGAUUUGCUGAACAAAUACAUAUUUUUCCUCUUUCAGAAACAGAUUGUCUCAGUUUACCUAGCUUUGAAAAUGCCAUACCCAUGGGAGAGAAGAAGGAGUUGUAUAAGUCGGGUGAGCAAGUGACUUACACUUGUGCAACAUAUUACAAAAUGGAUGGACCCAGUAAUGUAACAUGCAUUAAUAGCAGAUGGACAGGAAGGCCAACAUGCAGAGACACUUCCUGUGUGAAUCCGCCUACAGUACAAAAUGCUCAUAGAGUGUCGAGACAGAUGAGUAAAUAUCCAUCUGGUGAGAGAGUACGUUACGAAUGUAGGAGCCCUUAUGAAAUGUUUGGGGAUGAAGAAGUGAUGUGUUUAAAUGGAAACUGGACAGAACCACCUCAAUGCAAAGAUUCUACAGGAAAAUGUGGGCCCCCUCCACCUAUUGACAAUGGGGACAUUACUUCAUUCCCGUUGUCAGUAUAUGCUCCAGCUUCAUCAGUUGAGUACCAAUGCCAGAACUUGUAUCAACUUGAGGGUAACAAGCGAAUAACAUGUAGAAAUGGACAAUGGUCAGAACCACCAAAAUGCUUACAUGCAUGUGUAAUAUCCCGAGAAAUUAUGGAAAAGUAUAACAUAACAUUAAGGUGGACAGCCAAACAGAAACUUUAUUCGAGAACAGGUGAAUCAGUUGAAUUUGUGUGUAAAUACGGACAUCGUCUUUCACCAAGUUCUCACCCACUGCGAACAACAUGUUGGGAUGGGAAACUGGAGUAUCCAACUUGUGUAAAAAGAUAGAAUCAGUCAUAAAAUGCACACCUUUAUUCAGAACUUUAGUAUUAAAUCAGUUCUCAAUUUCAUUUUUUAAGUAUUGUUUUACUCCUUUUUAUUCAUAGGUAAAAUUUUGGAUUAAUUUGUGAAAAUGUAAUUAUAAUCUGAGACUGGUGGCUCUCUUCUUAAAAGCACCAUAUUAAAACUUGGAAAACUAA
rnacentral:sRNA from 1 species